GGCCACAUCUGCCAGAGCCUGGAGUCUGCGAAGGCCGGGACCCGGUUCCCCGGCCCGCCGUGGGGAGUGUGCAAACCCGAGAGAACUGGGUAAGUUGGGGUCGGCUUGCAGUUUGGGUUACCCCGAGGGCGGUGUACGUCGGUAAGAUUGUAACAGUAUUACUGGAAGACUUACUCGACUGUCCUGAUGAUACUUGUAAUAGGAAGUGCCGUCAGAAGCGAUAACUGACGACGUCUAACGUCUAUCUGACCGCAGUCGCUGAAACCUCUACAACUUAGUUGACCGUAACUGCCAGAGCCCUGCCCUGAAUUCCUGUCCUUACUCCCUCUUUCAGAUUGCGUACCCACUGCAGAGGGCUGAAGACGGGGUAGCCACGAGGUUGCAAAUUCGUGAAGAAUCAGCAGCAUGUUUGGCAGCUGAGUAUUGGAGCCAGGAGCCUGCCAUGAGGUUUUGAGAACAGGGUGCUGUUUUAGAGCUGGCAGCAGCAUCUCAGCCCAAGAGAAGGUUAUAUUCCCAGAGGAUGUCAGUCCCAAGGACCAGUAGCUGCCAUCAGUUUGGAUUCUGAAAACUAACCGGCAUCAACAUUGGGUGUAGAAACAUGCUUGCCUUGUGUAUCAGAGGACAUGCUCAGCAGAUCCAAGAGAUAUAUUUGGCAACUUUUUCUAGAAAAGGCACAUUAGGUAUCAUUCAUUACAUUCUUGAGUUUUUUUGGGGUUUUUUUUUUUUUUGAGACAGUCUUGCUGUGUUGCCCAGGCUGGAGUGUGGUGGCACAAUCACAGCUCAUUGCAGCCUCAAUCACCCAGGCCUAAGCAAUCCUCCCACCUUGUAGCUGGGACUACAGCUCACAGCACACCUGGCUAAAAUUUUUUUUUGUUGAGACGGAUUCUCUAUGUUGCUCAGGCUGGUCUCAAGCUCCUGGGCUUAGAUGGUCCUCCUGCCUCAGCUUCCAAAGGCACAGGCCAAGUU
rnacentral:antisense_RNA from 1 species